CGAAGAACCUUACCUAGGCUUGACAUCCCUUUGCAAAGUCCUUAACCGGACUCCUUUUCUUCGGAAAACAAAGGUGACAGGUGGUGCAUGGUUGUCGUCAGCUCGUGUCGUGAGAUGUUGGGUUAAGUCCCGCAACGAGCGCAACCCCUAUUUUUAGUUGCCAUCAGUUCGGCUGGGCACUCUAGAAAGACUGCCGAGGACAACUCGGAGGAAGGUGGGGAUGACGUCAAAUCAUCAUGCCCCUUAUGCUUAGGGCUACACACGUGCUACAAUGGCUGUUACAAAGGGCUGCGAGACCGCGAGGUGGAGCCAAUCCCAUAAAAACAGUCUAAGUUCGGAUUGUAGGCUGAAACUCGCCUACAUGAAGCCGGAGUUACUAGUAAUCGCAGAUCAGAAUGCUGCGGUGAAUGCGUUCCCGGGUCUUGUACACACC
rnacentral:rRNA from 1 species